GGAAGUAAAAGUCGUAACAAGGUUUCCGUAGGUGAACCUGCGGAAGGAUCAUUGUCGAAUCCUACAAAACUAUACCACUCGUGAACAUGUUCAUAAACACAGGACCAUAUCAAUUGUGGGGAACUCCUUGCAUUUGAUAUGUGCCUAAUGACACCAAGGCAUUUGCUUUGGUGCCUAACAAAACCCCGGCGCGAGAAGCGCCAAGGAAUACUCUUAACAAGGGCUCGAUCCGUCCUCUCCCGUUUGCGGGGCCAAGGGGAUUGGAGAAAGCUUCUUUCUAAACCAAAACGACUCUCGGCAACGGAUAUCUCGGCUCUCGCAUCGAUGAAGAACGUAGCGAAAUGCGAUACUUGGUGUGAAUUGCAGAAUCCCGUGAACCAUCGAGUCUUUGAACGCAAGUUGCGCCUGAAGCCAUUAGGCUAAGGGCACGUCUGCCUGGGCGUCACGCAUCGCGUCACCCCUUCAAUAAUUUGUUUGGAUGGGGUGGAAUGUGACCUCCUGUGCAUAUAAGUGCAGCUGGUCAAAAUUUGAGUCCAGAGUCUAGGAUGUCACGGCAAGUGGUGGUUGGAUAACAACUCGCGUCCUGUCGUGUGCCAAACCUCUUGUGGCUUUCAAGACCCUAAGGUGCUUGUCAUCCUCCUUCAUGGGUGGUGAACUUGUGCUACGAACGCGACCCCAGGUCAGGCGGGAUUACCCGCUGAAUUUAAGCAUAUCAU
rnacentral:rRNA from 1 species